rnacentral:tRNA from 1 species
GGUUAUGGCUCAGCGGUAGAGCGCUCAUCUUGAAUGUGCGAGGCCCUGGGUUUGAUCCUCAGCACCA